CCUACGGGUGGCAGCAGUCGAGAAUCAUUCACAAUGGGGGAAACCCUGAUGGUGCGACGCCGCGUGGGGGAAUGAAGGUCUUCGGAUUGUAAACCCCUGUCAUGUGGGAGCAAAUUAAAAAGAUAGUACCACAAGAGGAAGAGACGGCUAACUCUGUGCCAGCAGCCGCGGUAAUACAGAGGUCUCAAGUGUUGUUCGGAAUCACUGGGCGUAAGGCGUGCGUAGGCUGUUUCGUAAGUCGUGUGUGAAAGGCGCGGGCUCAACCGGCGGACGGCACAUGAUACUGCGAGACUAGAGUAAUGGAGGGGGAACCGGAAGUCUCGGUGUAGCAGUGAAAUGCGUAGAUAUCGAGAGGAACACUCGUGGCGAAGGCGGGUUCCUGGACAUUAACUGACGCUGAGGCACGAAGGCCAGGGGAGCGAAAGGGAUUAGAUACCCCAGUAGUC
rnacentral:rRNA from 1 species